AACGAACGCUGGCGGCAUGCCUAACACAUGCAAGUCGAGCGCCCGUAGCAAUACGGGAGCGGCGCACGGGUGAGUAACGCGUGGGAACCUGCCCAGAGGUCUGGGACAACCGCGGGAAACUGCGGCUGAUACCGGAUGAUUCCUGAGGGACAAAGAUUUAUCGCCUUUGGAGGGGCCCGCGUCGGAUUAGGUAGUUGGUGGGGUAAACGGCUCACCAAGCCUAUGAUCCGUAACUGGUCUGAGAGGAUGACCAGUCACACUGGGACUGAGACACGGCCCAGACUCCUACGGGAGGCAGCAGUGGGGAGUAUUGGACAAUGGGGGCAACCCUGAUCCAGCAAUGCCGCGUGGGUGAUGAAGG
rnacentral:rRNA from 1 species